UAAUACGAAGGUGGCAAGCGUUGUUCGGAUUCACUGGGCGUACAGGGAGCGUAGGCGGUUGGGUAAGCCCUCCGUGAAAUCUCCGGGCCUAACCCGGAAAGUGCAGAGGGGACUGCUCGGCUAGAGGAUGGGAGAGGAGCGCGGAAUUCCCGGUGUAGCGGUGAAAUGCGUAGAGAUCGGGAGGAAGGCCGGUGGCGAAGGCGGCGCUCUGGAACAUUUCUGACGCUGAGGCUCGAAAGCGUGGGGAGCAAACAGGAUUAGAUACCCUGGUAGUCCACGCCUUAAACUAUGGAUACUAAGUGUCGGCGGUUUACCGCCGGUGCCGCAGCUAACGCAGUAAGUAUCCCGCCUGGGAAGUACGGCCGCAAGGUUGAAACUUAAAUGAAUUGACGG
rnacentral:rRNA from 1 species